rnacentral:rRNA from 1 species
UACGGAGGGUGCAAGCGUUAUCCGGAUUUACUGGGUUUAAAGGGUGCGUAGGUGGGUAGGAAAGUCAGUGGUGAAAUCUUCGGGCUUAACCCGGAAACUGCCAUUGAUACUAUUUAUCUUGAAUACUUUGGAGGUAAGCGGAAUAUGUCAUGUAGCGGUGAAAUGCUUAGAUAUGACAUAGAACACCAAUUGCGAGGGCAGCUUACUACACAGUUAUUGACACUGAGGCACGAAAGCGUGGGGAUCAAACAGG